AGGACCUGCACCUCCGCCAUCUUCGGCAGCCGCUUGGGAAAAAGCGCUUCUCCCAUUUUUAAAGCUAUGUCCCACGUCUUCUCCAUUUCACCCCAGGUGGAGCUGCAGCCCAGCUGGAGACACAAACGUUCCCAUUUGUAGCUGAGAAGUCCCUGUUUGGUGGAUCAUGGGCUCCUUCCACUGGUUUUGAUCCUUCCACUUCCUGUCUGGUUCCCUUUGAUCCCAGCCUCUCUGACAUCACUGGAGAAAUGCCAGCCUAUGGAAGACAACCUCUGAGUCUCCUGGUGCCAAAACCAAGAACUUACUUGCAUCUACAUGUAAAUCAGAUUUUCCCUUGGGCAGCAUGGAGCAAAUCCCACUGUGAAAAGGUUUCCUCCGUCUUCCUCUUUGUCAGACUGCAUGCUGAGUCACAGGAUGGACCAGAUGUGUUGGUAUGAGAUGAAGUCAGGCCGGGAGACAAGAUGGCAGGCUGAGAACUGGGGCUGGCCCUUCCUGUGCUGUCCAUUCCGGUGUGGUCCUCCAGCCCUUCUGGAUUGUCAUAAAGUGAUUUUCUUUGGCCCAUGGAAUGUGGUAGAAGUGAUUAAACCUAAGACUCUAAUAGCUGUGUGCACUCCUGCUCUCUCGUUGAAUCCCUGCCACCACCAUAAGGACAAGUCCUGAGUUAGCCUACUGAAGGAUGAGAGAAUAUAUGAAGGAGAACUGAGUCACUCCAACUAAGGCCAAACUACAGCAGCAUGCUACAACCUGUCUGUUGUGUGCAGAAUCAUGGGCAAGGUCAGCCAACAUCAAGUGAGCCAAGAAAGUCACCCAGCAAACUUGUAGAUUUGGUAGCAAAAAAUAAAUAUUUAUUUUUAUUUGUCACA
rnacentral:lncRNA from 1 species